rnacentral:hammerhead_ribozyme from 1 species
AUCCAGUUGACGAGUCCAAAAUAGGACGAAAUACGCAUCAAGCUGGAA